AAGUCAGUCGUUCGUCAAUGUCGACAGUAAGAGACAUCGAACGACCGAGAAACAUGUCCAAACUUUUCUUCUUCUUCAUGUGUUUGGCUCUGAUGAGCUCUGUCGCGUUUGCCACGGAGGUUGGGGCUCCAUGUGACGAUCCGGGUAAAAUAACUCGCGAGGGAUGCAGGGUGUGUUACUGUCACCAAGGAGGAUUCCUAGGGUGUGCCGAAGAUAAGGAUUGUGAUCCGAACAAUCCUCGACUAUAACAAUCUAAACACCUCGCAAUAGUAAUGGCAAAAAAAAGGAACGAUUCUGACACGGACAUCGCCAUGGAUACAGCCAACGAAACGACUGGAACUUCUCAUAUCUAUAAAAACGGAUCAACAAAAUUGGUGAAAUUUUGACGCAAACUAGUAAGAAUAACUUAAAUGGUGCAACUCUAAACGUUACCAUAAUUGCUCUCAUAGGCAUUAUUUUAUACUUCACUGGAAUGCAAAGUAACAUACACGAAUAAAAUUUUACUUCUGGAAUUGCAA